CCUACGGGCGGCAGCAGUGGGGGAUAUUGCACAAUGGGGGGAACCCUGAUGCAGCGACGCCGCGUGGGUGAAGGAGCGUUUCGGCGCGUAAAGCCCUAUCGGCAGGGAAGAAGAUGACGGUACCUGACCAAGAAGCCCCGGCUAACUACGUGCCAGCAGCCGCGGUAAUACGUAGGGGGCAAGCGUUAUCCGGAUUUACUGGGUGUAAAGGGGGCGCAGACGGCAAUGCAAGCCAGGAGUGAAAGCCCGGGGCCCAACCCCGGGACUGCUCUUGGAACUGCAUGGCUGGAGUACAGGAGGGGCAGGCGGAAUUCCUAGUGUAGCGGUGAAAUGCGUAGAUAUUACACAGAACACCGAUUGCGAAGGCAGCUUGCUAGGCCGGAUCUGACACUGAUGCACGAAAGCGUGGGGAUCGAACAGGAUUAGAUACCCGUGUAGUC
rnacentral:rRNA from 1 species